AGCAGUAGCCACGGGAAUACGUAGGUGGCAAGCGUUGUCCGGAAUUAUUGGGCGUAAAGCGCGCGCAGGUGGUUUAAUAAGUCUGAUGUGAAAGCCCACGGCUCAACCGUGGAGGGUCAUUGGAAACUGUUAAACUUGAGUGCAGGAGAGAAAAGUGGAAUUCCUAGUGUAGCGGUGAAAUGCGUAGAGAUUAGGAGGAACACCAGUGGCGAAGGCGGCUUUUUGGCCUGUAACUGACACUGAGGCGCGAAAGCGUGGGGAGCAAACAGGAUUAGAUACCCCUGUAGUCCCUGUCUCUUAUAA
rnacentral:rRNA from 1 species